GUGGGGAAUAUUGGGCAAUGGGGGAAACCCUGACCCAGCAACGCCGCGUGAGGGAAGAAGGCUUUCGGGUCGUAAACCUCUGUCCCAUGGGAAGAGGAGAAGACGGUACCAUGGGAGGAAGCCCCGGCUAACUACGUGCCAGCAGCCGCGGUAAUACGUAGGGGGCGAGCGUUGUCCGGAAUGACUGGGCGUAAAGGGCGCGUAGGCGGCUUUAUAAGUCUGGAGUGAAAGUCCUCUUUUCAAGGGAGGAAUUGCUUUGGAAACUAUAGAGCUUGAGUGCAGGAGAGGUUAUCGGAAUUCCCGGUGUAGCGGUGAAAUGCGUAGAUAUCGGGAGGAACAUCGGUGGCGAAGGCGGGUAACUGGACUGCAACUGACGCUGAGGCGCGAAAGUGUGGGGAGCAAACAGGAUUAGAUACCCGAGUAGUCC
rnacentral:rRNA from 1 species